AGCUCCAAAAGUGUAUACGAAUAUUGUUGCAGUUAAAACGCUCGUAGUUGGAAGUGGAUUUUUUUUCAAUGCAUUUUUCAAAUUUUUCAAGAUUUGAGAAAAGGAAGUGAAAAAGAAUAAGAUGAAGAAAAGAAAGAAGAUGAUGAAGAGAGAUUUUCAUGAUUUUUUUUUUUGAAUUACUUUGAAAAAAUUAAAGUGUUUAAAACAAUUGAACAAAAAAGGAAUUUUUCAAUUUUGUUGAUUGAUUGAAUAAUGAAGCAUAGGAUAAUGAAAUAAGAUUUGAAAGAAAGUUGGGUUGAAUCUUUUUAGGGUUUCGAAUAAUGAUCGAUAAAAGUGGUCGGGGGUAUCCAGAUUGAAUAGGGAGCGGUGAAAUGUGAGGAUCUAUUCAAGAUGAACAAGAGCGAAAGCAUUUAUCAAGGACAUUUUUA
rnacentral:rRNA from 1 species